CCCUAACAAAUUGUGGCUUAUUGAUUUGUUUCUAUUUCAGGGCUCUAUACAAAGCCAAGGCAUCACAGCAUAUAGAAAAGAUAAACAUUGAUAAAGGACCUCCUCCAUUUCUGGUAGGCAGACCAAGAAUAGUUCCAGCUGUUAAAACCUAAAAUUCAAUUCUGUUCUAUUUAAUUUGAUAUAGAGUUUGGAUGUUGGAGAACAGAGCUUUAAUAUUCAAAGGCACGCUUGCACACAUGCACUCAAGUCAUAGUCAUUCAGAAAUAUUUCUUAACUAGCAAUAGAUUUAUGGAUUUCUGUACAAAAUGCUAGCAACAAAAAAAAGAUGAGAGUUAAUAUUUAAUAACUAUAUUUAAUGUAUACAAUUCUGUAAUGAGUUUCUAUAUUUGAAUAAGCUACAAAUAUAGUUUUUCUUGUCUCAUGCAUAGCUGUUUAUGUUAUUGCAACUUUCAUUAUUAAUAUUGUUUUGCUUUUUAAAAAAGGGUUUUUAAAGCAACAAGUACUUUUUAAAUACACUUAUGUAUUGGAUCUCUAUUUCAAAUUGAUUUUUUUUUUGUAUUAUAUAUUUGCUGUUAACUGCAAUGUAAACUGGUGCCAGUCUGUUUUCAAUGAAAAUAUUUUGUUUUAAUGUACAGACUUACUAUUUGGUAACUGUGAUAAGAUAUAAAUUCUGUUUUUAUUUUUGUGUACAUGAUUUCUAUUUAUUUGAUUUAUUGAGCUGUAAAAUAGUUUUGUUAUAAUUAAUGUAGUUACAAUGUUACACAUAGGAGAAAACACAUGUAUGUCUUAAAUAAAACAAAUCAACACA
rnacentral:sRNA from 1 species